UGCAUCAUUCUCGCCCAUGCUGCAUUCUUCUCGUUUUUCAACUGUUCACAUUCGCCGUCGUACCAGUCGUUUCUGUGAUUCGGAGUCGCGAAGCCUAGUGCUGUAGCCGAGGUACUACCUAUGGCAGAUCGGAUGUCCCUCCAGCCAUCUUCAAGUGUAGCUGCGCCAAGCUGCUCUUCCGUUGGCUCAGUAAAACAACUGUCAAAAUCGUAUGGAAAAGGUAAACAAUGCAUUUUUGCUGAACGAGUUCGGUGCUCAGCAGUUUUAAUCUCGUCAAAAAAUUACCGAACUCGGUAAUGAAAAUUAAGUGUUUAAGGUUAGGUUAUGUGUCUUUAUUAGAGAGAUUUUCAGCCUUCUUUCAUUCCUGUUUCUUGGGAUUCCUUUUCAAAUUCCUCUCGGAGAUUCUUUCGUAUUCCUAUCGACGUUUUUACCCUAGAUUCAAACAGUUCUUUCCGGAAAAAUUCCUGGAGAAUAUUGCAGGAUUUCUGAUAUCCAAAUAUUAUCUCCUGAAGGUUUUUAUGAGAAUCCUAUAAAUUUUCUUCCAGAGGUACUCCCAUAUUUGCUCUCAGAGUCUCUCGUUGGAUUUUUCCUCCUGCGUUUUGCCCAAACAAAUUUUCGUGGAAUUCAUUCUCUUUUCUCCGGGAAUAUAUAACAGAUGUUGUCGUAGAAUUUCUCUUAGAGUUUCUCUCGGAAUUUCUCUUGAAGGUUUUCCGCGAUUUCUAAGGUUUUUACAGAAACUUUUGCUAGGAUUUCAACUGAGGCUCCUCCCGGGUUUUAAAGGAGUUUUUCACGAGUUUUCUGAAGGAAUUGCUUCUGGGAUUUCUCCCGAAGUUUUAAGAAAUUUCAAUGAUUUUUUUGUGGAGUUUCUCCCCGGAUUUCUACAGAAGUUACAUCCGGGAUAUUUUAUAAAGGUUCUUUCGAGAGUUUUUUUUUAAGUUUCACUUGAGAUUACUCUCGGAGU